CAACGCGAAGAACCUUACCAGGGCUCGACAUCCCUGACCGCGUAUGAAAGUACGUUUCACCUCGGGUGACAGGGAGACAGGUGGUGCAUGGUUGUCGUCAGCUCGUGUCGUGAGAUGUUGGGUUAAGUCCCGCAACGAGCGCAACCCUCGACCUUAGUUGCCAGCAUUCAGUUGGGCACUCUAAGGUGACUGCCGGCUAAAAGUCGGAGGAAGUGGGGAUGACGUCAAAUCAUCAUGCCCCUUAUGACCUGGGCUACACACGUGCUACAAUGGGCGGUACAAAGGGUCGCGAACCCGCGAGGGGGAGCCAAUCCCAAAAAGCCGCUCUCAGUUCGGAUUGCAGGCUGCAACUCGCCUGCAUGAAGCCGGAAUCGCUAGUAAUCGCGGAUCAGCAUGCCGCGGUGAAUACGUUCCCGGGCCUU
rnacentral:rRNA from 1 species